AGUGAACGCUGGCGGUAGGCCUAACACAUGCAAGUCGAACGGCAGCACAGUAAGAGCUUGCUCUUACGGUUGGCGAGUGGCGGACGGGUGAGGAAUACAUCGGAAUCUACUUUUUCGUGGGGGAUAACGUAGGGAAACUUACGCUAAUACCGCAUACGACCUACGGGUGAAUGCAGGGGAUCUUCGGACCUUGCGCGAUUGAUUGAGCCGAUGUCGGAUUAGCUAGUUGGCGGGGUAAGGGCCCACCAAGGCGACGAUCCGUAGCUGGUCUGAGAGGAUGAUCAGCCACACUGGAACUGAGACACGGUCCAGACUCCUACGGGAGGCAGCAGUGGGGAAUAUUGGACAAUGGGCGAAAGCCUGAUCGAGCAAUACCGCGUGGGUGAAGAAGGCCUUCGGGUUGUAAAGCCCUUUUGUUGGGAAAGAAAAGCAGCAGGUGAAUACCCCGAUGUUCUGACGGUACCCAAAGAAUAAGCACCGGCUAACUACGUG
rnacentral:rRNA from 1 species